CAGCCGCCGCGGUAAUACGGAGGGCGCGAGCGUUGUCCGGAUUCACUGGGCGUAAAGCGGGUGUAGGCGGUCGGGUAAGUCGGACGUGAAAGCCCGGGGCUCAACCCCGGAAGGGCGUCCGAAACUGCUCGACUUGAGGGCGGGAGAGGGAGGUGGAAUUCCACGUGUAGCGGUGAAAUGCGUAGAGAUGUGGAGGAACACCAGUGGCGAAGGCGGCUUCCUGGCCUGUAACUGACGCUGAGGCGCGAAAGCGUGGGGAGCAAACAGGAUUAGAUACCCUGGUAGUCCACGCCGUAAACGAUGAGUGCUAAGUGUUAGGGGGUUUCCGCCCCUUAGUGCUGCAGCUAACGCAUUAAGCACUCCGCCUGGGGAGUACGGCCGCAAGGCUGAAACUUAAAGGAAUUGGCGGG
rnacentral:rRNA from 1 species